GAUGAACGUUGGCGGCGUGCCUAAUACAUGCAAGUCGAACGAAGACUGUAGUAAUACUGUCUUAGUGGCGAACGGGUGAGUAACGCGUGGGUGACCUGCCCCGAAGUGUGGGAUAACAGUCCGAAAGGAUUGCUAAUACUGCAUAAUAUCCAAGAGAUUAGAUGCUUUUGGAUUAAAGGAGUAAUUCGCUUCGGGAGGGGCCCGCGUCCCAUCAGCUAGUUGGUAAGGUAAUGGCUUACCAAGGCGAUGACGGGUAGGGGACCUGAGAGGGUGGCCCCCACAAUGGAACUGAAACACGGUCCAUACACCUACGGGUGGCAGCAGUAGGGAAUAUUAGUAAUGGGCGAAAGCCUGAACUAGCAACGCCGCGUGUGCGAAGAAGGCCUUCGGGUCGUAAAGCACUUUUGUAGAGGAUGAGGAAGGACGGUAACUCUCAGAAUAAGUCUCGGCUAACUAACGUGCCAGCAGCCGCGGUAAUCACGAGAGUAA
rnacentral:rRNA from 1 species